CCUACGGGAGGCUGCAGUGGGGAAUAUUGCACAAUGGGGGAAACCCUGAUGCAGCGACGCCGCGUGAGUGAAGAAGUAAUUCGUUAUGUAAAGCUCUAUCAUCAGGGAAGAAAAUGACGGUACCUGAGUAUGAAGCCCCGGCUAACUACGUGCCAGCAGCCGCGGUCAUACGUCGGGGGCAAGCGUUAUCCGGAUUUACUGGGUGUAAAGGGAGCGUAGACGGCAGUGCAAGUCUGGAGUGAAAGGCGGGGGCUCAACCCCCGGACUGCUCUGGAAACUGUACGGCUGGAGUGCAGGAGAGGUAAGUGGAAUUCCUAGUGUAGCGGUGAAAUGCGUAGAUAUUAGGAGGAACACCAGUGGCGAAGGCGGCUUACUGGACUGUAACUGACGUUGAGGCGCGAAAGCGUGGGGAGCAAACAGGAUUAGAUACCCCUGUAGUC
rnacentral:rRNA from 1 species